rnacentral:rRNA from 1 species
UACGUAGGGACCGAGCGUUGUCCGGAAUCAUUGGGCGUAAAGAGCGUGUAGGCGGCCACUUAAGUCCUGCGUGAAAUCUUGCGGCUCAACCGCAAGCGGUCGUGGGAAACUGGGUGGCUAGAGUGCGGAAGAGGAGAGUGGAAUUCCCGGUGUAGCGGUGAAAUGCGCAGAUAUCGGGAAGAACACCCGUGGCGAAGGCGGCUCCCUGGGACGGUACUGACGCUGAGACGCGAAAGCGUGGGGAGCGAACAGG